rnacentral:rRNA from 1 species
UUGACCUCGGAUCAGGUAGGGAUACCCGCUGAACUUAAGCAUAUCAAUAAGCGGAGGAAAAGAAACCAACCGGGAUUGCCUCAGUAACGGCGAGUGAAGCGGCAAGAGCUCAAAUUUGAAAGCUGGCUCCUUCGGAGUCCGCAUUGUAAUUUGCAGAGGAUGCUUUGGGUGCGGCCCCCGUCUAAGUGCCCUGGAACGGGCCGUCAGAGAGGGUGAGAAUCCCGUCUUGGGCGGGGUGUCCGUGCCCGUGUAAAGCUCCUUCGACGAGUCGAGUUGUUUGGGAAUGCAGCUCUAAAUGGGUGGUAAAUUUCAUCUAAAGCUAAAUACUGGCCGGAGACCGAUAGCGCACAAGUAGAGUGAUCGAAAGAUGAAAAGCACUUUGAAAAGAGAGUUAAACAGCACGUGAAAUUGUUGAAAGGGAAGCGCUUGCGACCAGACUCGCCCGCGGGGUUCAGCCGGCAUUCGUGCCGGUGUACUUCCCCGUGGGCGGGCCAGCGUCGGUUUGGGCGGCCGGUCAAAGGCCCCUGGAAUGUAGUGCCCUCCGGGGCACCUUAUAGCCAGGGGUGCAAUGCGGCCAGCCUGGACCGAGGAACGCGCUUCGGCACGGACGCUGGCA